rnacentral:rRNA from 1 species
GCUCAUCACGUGCCAGCGUGCGCGUAAAGACGGGGGAUCCAAGCGUUAUCAGGGAGGAGUGGGUUUAAAGGGGCCGGAGGAGGGCUUAUAAGGCAUUGGUGAAAUCCCAUCGCUCAGCGAUGGAAAUGCCAGUGAUACUGGAGGACUUGAAUGCUUAGGAAGUAACUAGAAUAUGUAGUGUAGCGGUGAAAUGCUUAGAUAUUACAUGGAAGACCAAUUGCGAAGGCAGGUUACUACUAAGUGAUUGACGCUGAUGGACGAAAGCGUGGGGAGCGAACAGGAUUAGAUACCCCGGUAGUC